AUAGACCACGGUUUCUUAGGGGAUUGGGGUCAAAGGUCGCCUCUGCGAGCAAGCGAUCGCUUGAAGAUGGGCCUGCGCACCAUUAGCUAGUUGGUAGGUAACGGCCUACCAAGGCCAAGAUGGUUAGCUGGUCUGAGAGGAUGAUCAGCCACACUGGAACUGAGACACGGUCCAGACUCCUACGGGAGGCAGCAGUGGGGAAUAUUGCGCAAUGGGCGAAAGCCUGACGCAGCAACGCCGCGUGAGUGAUGAAGGCCUUCGGGUCGUAAAGCUCUGUCGGAGGGAACGAAUGCCUCGGGGGUUAACAUCCCCGGGAGUGACGGUACCCUCAAAGGAAGCACCGGCUAACUCUGUGCCAGCAGCCGCGGUAA
rnacentral:rRNA from 1 species